AUGUGUAUACCAAAGAACCACAGAGGAAUGGGGUGCCAUGACAUCCACUGUUUCAACCUGGCUCUGCUUGCUAAACGGGCAUGGCGUCUCAUUGAUAAUCCUGACUCCUUGUGUGCUACUAUUCUAAAGGCCAAGUAUUAUCCUGAUGGUGAUUUGCUGAACUCCAAGCCAAAGCAUGGUGCUUCUUUCACCUGACAAAGCAUUAUGGAAGGCAUUACUACUCUCAAGCGUGGCAAUAUUUGACGAGUGGGGGAUGGACACAACAUCAAUAUUUGGGAAGAUGCAUGGAUCUCAAAUUGUGCCACUAGGAAGAUUGUGACCCCUAAGGGGGGACAUUUGUUAUCGAAAGUGGUUGAUUUGAUUGACCCGGCCUCCAAUAACUGGGAUGAGGACUUGAUUAGACAAACUAUGUGGCCCAUUGACGCACAACACAUUCUUUCAAUCCUAAUUUCGCAACAUAAUAUGACAUAUUUUAUUGCCUGGAGCUAUACGAAAAAUGGUAUGUUCUCGGUACGAUCUGCUUACUAUGUGGAGUGGAAUUAUCAGUAUGGAAGUAAGCUAAAACAUUCCAAUGGGAUGGGGCGAACCACACCUAACCCUAUAUGGUGUCAGAUAUGGAAGUUAUCAUGUCGGGCAAAAGUCAAAAUUUUCUUAUGGCGGACACUACAUGGCACUCUUCCAUGUCGGGCAACCCUCACCAAUAGACAUAUGAAGGUCUCGCCUAUUUGCCCUACCUGUUCUCGGGGUGUAGAAGAUACGAAGCACUUGCUUUUGCUAUGUACAAAAGCAAAGGAAGUAUGGAAAAUGUUAGGAAUGGAUGCGAUUAUUGAUAAAGCUUGUGAGAUUGAUCGUGCUGGAGAGGCGAUACUCCUUCCAGAUCAAGAUAUGCAUAUUAUGGGGUACCAAAAUGUACGAGAAAUGAUAGCUAUCUUAGCGUGGUAUCUUUGA
rnacentral:rRNA from 1 species